GAAGAAAUUAGAGUUUAGGGAACAUGAACGAUCCAGAACCCUGCAGAAUAAAACAUGAAGAUACUGAAAAUCAAAGAGAACCUUUAGAAAUGACGUCAGCUGAUGAUGAGUUCGAGGCUGGAUCUUACUUAUUUUCUGCGGCCUUGGUCUUCAGUAAACUCUCUGUCAACUGAUUAAACUUCAACUUUGACUCCUGGUCUCCUAAAAACUGUGAAACAAAACUGGCCGACCGUCCGAACAGUGUACAAGAACCAAGUUAAAUUCACUUCCGUAUCUUAAGCAAGGCUUAAAUUAAAAAGGAUAAACUUUCGUGGAAGAGCAACACUGCAAGGUUUCGUGACCGUAACCACGAUGUUAGUUAAAAAAAUGUUAGCGGUUGUCAAAUUUCUACUUAUCACUUAUCUAUGCUGGCAAAUCACCUAUUCACUGGAAAAAAUGAUAAAUUGUCAGGAAAGGAACAAACAAAACAGUUCAUACAAAAUUGAAUUAGUUAGUGUUCACUUCGAAAGGCAUGUUAUCAGAUUUAUUAAUGUUUUUUAUUUCUAGGAUUUUAUCACAAAUAUAUGCUUGCUGACAGCGCUAUUUUUAAUAAUUAAAGCAAUGCAAGUUA